GAUGAACGCUAGCGGCAGGCUUAACACAUGCAAGUCGAGGGGCAACACGGGUAGCAAUACCUGGUGGCGACCGGCGCAAGGGUGCGUAACGCGUGAGCAACAUGCCCUAUACAGGGGGAUAAUCCAGGGAAACUUGGUCUAAUAUCCCAUAGUAUUUAGAGGUGGCAUCACCACUAAAUUAAAGCUUCGGUGGUAUAGGAUUGGCUCGCGUGACAUUAGCUGGAUGGUGGGGUAACGGCUCACCAAGGCAACGAUCAUUAGGGGUUCUGAGAGGAAGGUCCCCCACACUGGUACUGAGACACGGACCAGACUCCUACGGGAGGCAGCAGUGAGGAAUAUUGGUCAAUGGGCGAGAGCCUGAACCAGCCAAGUCGCGUGAAGGAUGAAGGUUUUAUGAAUUGUAAACUUCUUUUGCAGGGGAAUAAAGUGCGGUACGUGUACCGUUUUGUAUGUACUCUGCGAAUAAGGAUCGGCUAACUCCGUGCCAGCAGCCGACGGUAAAACG
rnacentral:rRNA from 1 species